AAUGUUGUCUCCUUCAUCCUUGCAACGAACUUGAGCCAUUGAUUCAGUAAAACAUUCAAUGGCACAUGCUUGUUGUUAGGAUCAAAAGAGAUAAUCCAUCUAAAGGCCUCAU
ensembl:miRNA